rnacentral:snRNA from 1 species
GUGCUUGCUUAGGCAGCACAUAUACUAAAAUUGGAACGAUACAGAGAAAAUUAGCGUGGCCCCUGUCCAAGGAUGACACGCAAAUUCGUGAAGCAUCCCAUAUUUUU